rnacentral:rRNA from 1 species
AGACCCGAAACCCGGUGAUCUAGCCAUGGGCAGGUUGAAGGUUGGGUAACACUAACUGGAGGACCGAACCGACUAAUGUUGAAAAAUUAGCGGAUGACCUGUGGCUGGGGGUGAAAGGCCAAUCAAACCGGGAGAUAGCUGGUUCUCCCCGAAAGCUAUUUAGGUAGCGCCUCGUGAAUUCAUCUCCGGGGGUAGAGCACUGUUUCGGCUAGGGGGCCAUCCCGGCUUACCAACCCGAUGCAAACUGCGAAUACCGGAGAAUGUUAUCACGGGAGACACACGGCGGGUGCUAACGUCCGUCGUGAAGAGGGAAACAACCCAGACCGCCAGCUAAGGUCCCAAAGUCAUGGUUAAGUGGGAAACGAUGUGGGAAGGCCCAGACAGCCAGGAUGUUGGCUUAGAAGCAGCCAUCAUUUAAAGAAAGCGUAAUAGCUCACUGGUCGAGUCGGCCUGCGCGGAAGAUGUAACGGGGCUAAACCAUGCACCGAAGCUGCGGCAGCGACACUCAGGUGUUGUUGGGUAGGGGAGCGUUCUGUAAGUCUGCGAAGGUGGCCUGUGAGGGUUGCUGGAGGUAUCAGAAGUGCGAAUGCUGACAUAAGUAACGAUAAAGCGGGUGAAAAGCCCGCUCGCCGGAAGACCAAGGGUUCCUGUCCAACGUUAAUCGGGGCAGGGUGAGUCGACCCCUAA